rnacentral:ncRNA from 2 species
AACGGAUACUAACGCCUAGCCUCUGUGUCUAAGUCGCUGUUUAUCAAAUGGAUACCACAUUGAUAUGAUGCACUGGCCGUGGCUCUUGAGUCACCAGGAUGCAAGGUAGAAAUACCGGCAUCUCCCGUACUUGGAAGGUGUUAUUGUGGAACAACU